CAGCCCGAACCCCGGGGGGACCAGCGCGCACGCCCCAGCCGCGCUCCUGGUGUCACUGCUCGGCCGCCAACAACCGAAUCAACACACCCAAGCGCUGCGAUCCGCCAAGGGCUAAGGCCGAAG
rfam:Oryctolagus cuniculus chromosome 1, whole genome shotgun sequence.